rnacentral:ncRNA from 2 species
CAACAAAACACCCCCUCAGGUGCCCUGCUCCCGGAUGGGCGGGCAUAAUGGCGAAGCCGGUGCAAGUCCGGCACUGUCGCGCAACUGUGAUCCACACGCCGGUGUGGUCAGUCAGGUCGACCGCCUGAGGUGGCGUUUCUCA